UCCGUAGGCGGGCGUCUAAGUCAGUGGUGAAAUCCCACAGCUUAACUGUGGAACUGCCUUUGAUACUGUUAGUCUUGAGUUAUAUGGAAGUAGAUAGAAUGUGUAGUGUAGCGGUGAAAUGCAUAGAUAUUACACAGAAUACCGAUUGCGAAGGCAGUCUACUACGUAUAUACUGACGCUAAUGGACGAAAGCGUGGGGAGCGAACAGGAUUAGAUACCCUGGUAGUC
rnacentral:rRNA from 1 species